rnacentral:rRNA from 1 species
GAUGAACGCUAGCUACAGGCUUAACACAUGCAAGUCGAGGGGCAGCAUGGUCUUAGCUUGCUAAGGCCGAUGGCGACCGGCGCACGGGUGAGUAACACGUAUCCAACCUGCCGUCUACUCUUGGACAGCCUUCUGAAAGGAAGAUUAAUACAAGAUGGCAUCAUGAGUUCACAUGUUCACAUGAUUAAAAGGUAUUCCGGUAGACGAUGGGGAUGCGUUCCAUUAGAUAGUAGGCGGGUAACGGCCCACCUAGUCUUCGAUGGAUAGGGGUUCUGAGAGGAAGGUCCCCCACAUUGGAACUGAGACACGGUCCAAACUCCUACGGGAGGCAGCAGUGAGGAAUAUUGGUCAAUGGGCGCAGGCCUGAACCAGCCAAGUAGCGUGAAGGAUGACUGCCCUAUGGGUUGUAAACUUCUUUUAAUAAAGGAAUAAAGUCGGGUAUGUAUACCCGUUUGCAUGUACUUUAUGAAUAAGGAUCGGCUAACU